UACGUAGGGUGCAAGCGUUGUCCGGAAUUAUUGGGCGUAAAGAGCUCGUAGGCGGUUUGUCGCGUCGAAUGUGAAAACCCGGGGCUCAACCCUGGGCCUGCAGUGGGUACGGGCAAACUAGAGUGCGGUAGGGGAGAUCGGAAUUCCUGGUGUAGCGGUGAAAUGCGCAGAUAUCAGGAGGAACACCGGUGGCGAAGGCGGAUCUCUGGGCCGUAACUGACGCUGAGGAGCGAAAGCAUGGGUAGCGAACAGG
rnacentral:rRNA from 1 species